UGCAUGGAAAUCAUGAAGUCUCUCAUGCCUUCAUUUUUUGAAAUGUUUUGGGAAGAGAAUUAAGAAUAGCCCAGAAACUGGUCUUGUUCUUUAUAUAGGAAGAAUGACCAAAAACAUAAAAGCCAAAUCUUCCAGCAAAUGCAAGACACUUCUUUCAGUGUUUGCAGUAAGUCUAACAGAAUGAACUGCUAUCUGUAAAGUACUGUGCAAUGACAUCUAAGAUGAAGGAAAUGGUAAAGCAAAAUCAUGAUUCAAAGGCUGCCACGGAGAGCUUUUGUCUACGUUUAACUCAUUGUGAUAUUCAGAGUAAGAUAACAGAUGAAAAAGAUGAUCAUUGAGAAUUACUCCUACCUCUUUAACCUAGAAAGAAGACACAUGGCUAACUUAUGUUUCUAUGGCAAAGUUGGACAUGCCAAAGAUGGCGUAGAUGAACAUGACCAGGAAGAGCAGGAGGCCGAUGUUAAA